rnacentral:rRNA from 1 species
GAUGAACGCUGGCGGCGUGCCUAAUACAUGCAAGUCGAGCGAACAGACGAGGAGCUUGCUCCUCUGACGUUAGCGGCGGACGGGUGAGUAACACGUGGAUAACCUACCUAUAAGACUGGGAUAACUUCGGGAAACCGGAGCUAAUACCGGAUAAUAUAUUGAACCGCAUGGUUCAAUAGUGAAAGACGGUUUUGCUGUCACUUAUAGAUGGAUCCGCGCCGCAUUAGCUAGUUGGUAAGGUAACGGCUUACCAAGGCAACGAUGCGUAGCCGACCUGAGAGGGUGAUCGGCCAAACUGGAACAGAGACACGGUCCAGACUCCUACGGGAGGCAGCAGUAGGGAAUCUUCCGCAAUGGGCGAAAGCCUGACGAAGCAACGCCGCGUGAGUGAUGAAGGUCUUCGGAUCGUAAAACUCUGUUAUUAGGGAAGAACAAAUGUGUAAGUAACUAUGCACGUCUUGACGGUACCUAAUCAGAAAGCCACGGCUAACUACGUG